rnacentral:rRNA from 1 species
CGAGAAAGCCCGCAAGGGUGAGUACAGCGGCGCACGGGUGCGUAACACGUGAGUAAUCUGCCCUGGAGCCCGGAAUAACCUCCCGAAAGGGAAGCUAAUGCCGGAUGAGCCCACGGGGUCCUUGGACCCUGAGGGAAAAGGCGGCCUCUGUAUACAAGCUGUCACUUCAGGAUGAGCUCGCGGCCCAUCAGCUAGUUGGCGGGGUAAUGGCCCACCAAGGCUACGACGGGUAGCUGGUCUGAGAGGACGAUCAGCCACACUGGAACUGAGACACGGUCCAGACUCCUACGGGAGGCAGCAGUGGGGAAUCUUGCGCAAUGGGCGAAAGCCUGACGCAGCAACGCCGCGUGUGUGAUGAAGGUCUUCGGAUCGUAAAGCACUGUCGCGAGGGACG